AAGAUCAGCAAUGAGAAGGUCGAGGCAUUUUCCUCAGAUAAGGAUUAGGCCCUCCUCAUUUCUUUUGUUUCUACUUUUUCUUCUUAUUUUUCUCUUCUUUUGUUUUGUACAGUGCCUCUCUGUUACCACUUUUGUAAUUAUUAAAUGGGAUGAAAGGGGAACUAUUCGUAUGUACCUCUUUCAUAGAUAUGUUUGUUGUGAUAUCACCUUGCUCUGAUACCAUUUGUUAUGCAGGAUCUGGUAUCAUGC
rnacentral:lncRNA from 1 species